CCUACGGGCGGCAGCAGUGAGGAAUAUUGGUCAAUGGCCGGAAGGCUGAACCAGCCAAGUAGCGUGCAGGAUGACGGCCCUACGGGUUGUAAACUGCUUUUAUACGGGAAUAACGCGCCUUACGUGUAGGGCUUUGCAUGUACCGUCUGAAUAAGGACCGGCUAAUUCCGUGCCAGCAGCCGCGGUAAUACGGAAGGUCCGGGCGUUAUCCGGAUUUAUUGGGUUUAAAGGGAGCGUAGGCCGCAUGUCAAGCGUGCUGUGAAAUGUCCGGGCUCAACCCGGGCCUUGCAGCGCGAACUGGCGUGCUUGAGUCCGCGGAAAGCAGGCGGAAUUCGUCGUGUAGCGGUGAAAUGCUUAGAUAUGACGAAGAACCCCGAUUGCGAAGGCAGCUUGCUGCAGCGGAACUGACGCUGAUGCUCGAAAGCGCGGGUAUCGAACAGGAUUAGAUACCCCAGUAGUC
rnacentral:rRNA from 1 species